CUUUGGCUGAGUCAGAAGUUCACCUUCAUUUUCACCUCAGUGAUCCCACCUUUGUACCUGGCCAUCUGAUUUCAAGUCAGGGCCACACUGCAAGAGUAAAGAACGUUCCCCUUCAGCUGGACUCUCUGUGCCCGGAGGGAGAGCUUCAAGCAGAGUUUCCUGUGGCAGUGUGGAGAAAUGGGGUUGUUACUGAAGCGCGCUAAAGCUUUUUUGUACCAUGUCCUGCAACAUUCCCUCAGCUGAAUCUCUUGGGCAGAGAAAGAGUAUGUACCUGUGCCCCUAUAACAUGGCCUUGGGCAGCAGAAGGGUUUAUACAUCCCAUAUGGAGCUUUAUGACUUCAGUUUGAUACUACGCUGGACCUCAUAAGCAUACCUCACACAGUGUGUGCACCUUUUCCACUUGGCAUAUGCCUGGUUGGCUUCUCAGAGGGAGCAGUGCACUUCCCUCCUCACCCAGCGGAUGCUGUGCUGCUACCUUUGGUGCCAUCCUCAAACCCUGCUCUGAACACGAACUCCGCAUUUCCUCAUAGACUUCUCAGAGAUCUGUUGACACUGUCCUAUUCAAGCAGAUGGAAAAAAUGAUGGCUGUGACAGAAAGGACAAGCUUCUUUCAAGUCUUUUUUUUUUCAAUAAGGUGGAAUGGCUGUACUACAGUCUCAAGACUGUUUUGAAUUGUCCUGAAUGACCUAGUCAGCAGAGCGAAAGCGAAGUCCUCUUUGGCUGCAGAAAAGAAAAGAAGUGAAGGCCCACUUCCUCUGGAUGGGAAGACAGAUGAUCAAGUGACAUCUGCACUAAGUCUAGCAGUUCUCACUCAGAGGAUUCUUUUGGUGCCUUAUCCUUCCUGGAUGAUGUAAAGAUUCUACAGAGAGUGCUAAGAACUUCAAGCAGGGAAGGAAAAAAAGGCACAAACUUAGACUUGGGCAACACCACAGAAGAGGUCACUAGCAGAGCCAGCAAUACUGCUGAGUCCUCUUCAUUAUCAAGCCAGUAGACCAUCUAGGGAUUUGAAUCUGAUUCUUCUGGCACUCAAGAUCGCUGGGGUACAUGCUGCAGAGAACUUGGAGAUGACCGUCAAGCACUACAGUAACUGUUGCACUACAGUUGGGCAUCCAAAAGGAGCAGAGUGUUAGAAAUUAGCUCAACGAGAAGCUAUGGUUUUGAUGCAGGAAUAUUAAGUGAAAUUCUGUAGAUGACUUGUGAAGAGCCAACAGGAACCACCUGUGUAACAUGCAUAGCCUACCCAGCAGCAGUGUUGUUGUCCUGGAGAACUUCUGGAGAAACUGUGAUAGAAGAGGCCUAACAAAGUGUGCUUGGCACAGAGAGAAGGAAGAGUACUCUGCAUCUUACAAGUCCCUCCCCUGAGGACAUUCUCCCAGCACAACAGAAGCCAGUAUAGAGUAAGAUGGAGAGCCACGAGCACAGUGUUGCAGCUGGUGCUUGAACUGCCUGUGGAAGUCCCUCAUGGUGAUAAAAAGGAAUGAGUGACCCUUGUUGCAAGUCUGGGUAUUUUGGACUGGGACUGGAAGAGCAAACGUGAGCUUAUGGAAAACCAGAACAUACUACGUGUUCUUCUGAUACAUGUAUGUACUGCAGGACUGCAAAUAUGUGAAGUUUUCAUUAAGAGGAAAGUAUUAUUAAAAGCAGACAUGAUGAGCUCUCCACCUAGAUUCUGGAUUUCUGCUUUAACUUGACUGCAGAUUUUAAGCUGAUGGGAGUAUAGCUUGAUCUGUUCCAGAUGUUAUAAAAAUAAGUUGUAUCUAUGAAAAUAAAAGUGAGGGGAAGAGUGGGUGUGAAAGACUGACUAUACCAUGCUACUCUGGACUUAAAAGCCAGUCACAAAUGACUAGUUUCUUCAACACUGAAGUAAUACUUCAGCUCAACUAAAAUCAGCACUUACUGUGUUUGAUGCAUAUAAAGCGAGCACCCUUGCUAAAUUCAGCUCUGCACUUCAGCCUUUUUGAUAGGAAGAUUUUUAGUUUUAUUAUGUAAACAUUUAAUUCCUGAAGGCUUCAUGGCAAUUUACAAGAUCUGCAGUGGACAAAGGAAGUGGGCAACAUGGAAAAUCACUAAACUUCUUUGCUCAGAUGAGGAGACCCUUUUCUUUGAAAUCCCAACUAAAGACAAAGCCUAAACCCCACAGAAGAAGGAUGUAACCACAGCUGCUUCAUGCUACGAUGGACUUAGUCUGCCUCCCACUUCAGGGUGCACCGUUUCAGAUGAAAUUUUUGAAGGUCUGACUGUUCAUUCAAAACUAUAGGACUAUGCAUUUAAAAAUCAAGGCGAUAGACAAAUAAACCUUUUACUACGGGCAGCACAUUUUUAUCACUUAUACCUGAAGAGGACUCGGUAGAGUUCCUCAAGAAAUUAGGUUAGGGUGAACAUAACAGUAGAUUGUACAGGUGAAUCCCCCUUGCCAUUUUAUUAAGGCUCUGGGUAGGGGAGGAAGGAAAGUUCCAUUUUCACUUGCCAUGUAGCCCAGUCUCAGUUUACAGGUUUGCAAAAUUAGGAGAAAAAUAUUCUUCUUGCUAGGAAACCUGCUAGCAUAACUGACUAAAGACACACUCAGCAUUUACAGAUGUAAUGGCUGAAGCAUUUCCACUCAUUAACAAAAUAAAUGCAAUACAAGUAAAAGCACAGCCAGAUGAGAAAAGGCCAAUGUGAAGAAGUACUAAUCAGUAUGAGGAAAAGGACUGUAAAGUCUUUGAAUUAAAUAAUAUUGUGUAGCUUUUGCAAGUGAGGGAAUUAAGAUUUAAAACAAUACUUGCCUUAUGGGUACCCAUGAAUGGGUCAGGGAAGUCCCAGGAACUGCAAACACAACAUAGGUAUUACUAACUGUUCUAGCAUUCUAGAAAUUCAGAUGAGUUUAUGAAGACAGAAGUUUCUCUUUCCUCUUUUUUUUUUUGCCUCAGAGAUUCAAAAAGGAGAGGAGGUCCAAAAGCGUAGACUUUUCUGGUAGUGAGAGCUUGGUGACAUGUAUGUAGCAAAUACCGUAUUUGUAGAUGAGUGUAAUGUGGGCUGGUAUGGCUCUGACUUGUUUUUAUUGAAUUAAGUGUGCAUAAGUCACUCACAGACCGUGAUGGAGUGCUGCCCUUGAGAAUCUCUGUGGAAAUGUCUCAGUUCAAAAAGGUGUCUGCUGAGUGCCAAUAAACACUAUCAAUUCAUAAUCAAUUUCAAAGCAUACUGACUAAAACAAAGAAAUGAGUAACCAUCAACAUGACUUCUAGGACAAAUAUUGUCAGACCCCAUGUAAAACAAGAUUUUAUAGCCUUUAGGAAGAUGGGAAAGAUAAAUACCAUGUAUUUUUAGUUCAUUUAGGCUUCUGAAAUUGUCUCCUGUUGUAUUUUCACAAACUACCUAAAGAAUAUAUGGCCUAGACAAAAAUCACUGCAAGAGAUGGGAAACUGCUAGAAGAGCAUCCUCUAAGACAGCUUGGUUAUCGAAUGACAACUGUCACAAUAGAGGGCAACACAGAAAAAAAAUAACCUGGUUUUGCUGGAAUCUGUCCUGAUUUCUGCACUGCUCAGUUCUUUAUUUACUGCUUGACUAAAGGAAAAAAGAGAAUGCUUACUUCACUUAAACUUAACAGUGAUUGGAAGGUUAAUAUAUAUAGGUUAAUAUAUAUAUAUAUAGGUUAAUAUAUAUAUAUAUAGGUUGGGAGGCCAGGUUUCUAAUUAUCGUAAGUAUUGAAGAAAAUUUAGCUAUAACUAUAAAUAAAGAGAAUGUCCACUCAGGUAGGAAAAUUAUAAAAUACGCAGAUGUAAAAGUGUAAUGUCAGUCUCUACAAACCAUUACAAGAAGCAAUUCGGAGUUCUAGUGGCUCACAAAUUGCUCAAGUAUCUGAACUAGCAUGCUGUAGAAGAAGAAGCAACGGCAAACUGGUAUGUACAGAGAAGUAACUUCUGCUCUUCUGUGCAGUGAUGAGGUCUCUGCAGGUAAGUCUGACAAAGAAAACGUUCCUGGAAAGACUUUAUGAAAGACCAAGCACCAUCAUAGUAGAUUAGAUUUGGCUUUGUUUCCUAAAGGUUCAGCUUUUUAUGGUAGCAUAAGGCUCUGUGAAAGCCUUGCCAUGGGAAUUCCUACAAUGGCAGUCACUGGCUUACAUGACACAACAGGAUUCUAUGGUGCUUACACUCAUACAGUUACAUGGUCCAUCAACAAUGACAUCUCACCUAAUGCACAUGUUUUAUGUCAAAGCCAUCUGUUCCGGCAAAGUGGCCACCUCGUGUUCCAAGGAGCAUCAGAAAGUGACUUAGAAUUUCUGGACAAACCUGAACUGGAUUAACCAUCUCAACUCAACAGCACUAGCACUGAAGAAAUGGUUUUGACCAAAAAAAAAAAAAAAAUAGGAGUCAUACUAAACAUAGAAACAGCUCAAAAGUCCUGACUUUUCCUUUGAGUUAAAUGGGUAGAAGGCCAACUAUUACUUCUCUCUUUUCCUAGACCUGUGUAGAAUGAUAAUACAACUGUGGCUAAAGUAGUGUUGAAAAUAAAAGCGAGAGUAAUAGGCCAUAGGAGUAGUAAAAUCCUUUAUAGCACUGUGGUACUUGAAUGAGAAGUGGAAAGUACUGUGAUUUGCAGCAAUUUACCUAUCAGUACAAGUUUAUGUCAGCCCCUUUGUUUCUUUUUCUGCUCUGGGGCAUCUCCUACUGUGAUUUUCUUAUGUAGGUCAUCCCUCUCCCCAAACCUGUUUUGCUUUCACUAGCCUUACAAAAUAAAUAAAGCUGUUAUUUAGAAGGUUUGGCUCUAAGAGAAACCCAGUCAUGUCUUUUUGUUGCUCAUAUUUCUUGUAUUUUGCCAUUUGUGACCAAUCGAAAAUCUAUUCAGGAUUUUGCAGACAAUGCAGCAGCGUUUUUAUUUUCCAAAGGUCUUUAGUGUCUGCCAAAUACGAUGUUGAUUGCAAUGUCUAAAAUUGACUGUAUUUCACUAAUACCAUGGUGACUUGUUUUCAUUGCUAAAAAAAAAAAAAAUACCAUCUUCUGAAAAUUUCACAAAACAUCAUUAAAACUCUGUGGGGUUAUUUGUAGUUGGUCUUUGGUGCCGUGCUUAUCAAGCAGGGAUUCUGGUCUGUGGGACACAGACCUCUCCCAUCUCUCCCACCUGCUUUCAAGUGGCCUUGUGGCUGGCCAUCAGCCUGCAAAAGCCGUUAGUCAGGAACAGGCACAUAAGUGGUAGGUGCCUGUUCCUGACCUCCCCACACUUUUCCUGAAGCAGGCCGUUUCUGACCCUGAGAAAUACUAUGUGACUGCAUAACAACAAACCAAGUCCCCUGCAUUUGCAUAACUGUUGUGACAAAAGUUUGAUACUAUUAAAACACAGGUUAGACAUUUUCUUAAUGAUCCAUUGUGUUUUGUUCCUCUCUGCUUUGAGUAAUGAAGUAGGAAUACAAAUAUUUAAACAAGAAAAGGACAAAACGCUCUUGUUUGUAGCUCAUGUAUCUUACUUUGUCAGCUGUAUAAAUGUAGAAAAAUCCAGGCAUUGAAACUUGGCUGCAGGGUCAAAGGUGGACGUGACACUAUUGUGAAGUAACUGUCACUGGAAGCACAGUUCCUGGUCUCCCAUCUUAAAAAGUACAUGGCUUAAAAACAAAGCAUUUUUUGCCUCAAAAUGUGGUCUUUUAUAUGGUAGACUGCUGCACUAUAAGCCUGAUAAUGCUACUUUUGAAACAGAGCUAUCCUGGCAUAGUUAAUAGGGAAGAAAUGCUGAUAUUACUCGAAUAGUUACUGAACAUUAAGUUACCUGUAAAAGAUGCCUCUUAAUGUGAAACUACAUCUUAAAAAUAGUGUGGAAGAGAUGAGAACAUAAGGCAGAACGAGUGGGAAGAGAAAAGAAAGUAUGUCAGGAGUCUGAAGGAGUCUGUCAGUCUUAGGAGGCUGAAGGGGAAAAAACAGCUGAAAGCCUCACUACAAGUUCCUAAAUCAGAAGUGUGACAAAACUAAUCACAGCGACAACAGAAUGUGGAAGGCAGCACAUCAAAGGGAAAAGUCUGAUGUGAAUGUAUAUACACUAGUUAACUUGUGCAAUAACCAGAGAAGUGUAUGUUUACAUACAAUCUAUACAGAUGAAAAGCUAAGAAUUGCAAACUCCUUCCAUAAUUACAAUUGUACACACAGACACUCUUCCCCGUCAUCCUUAAAUCUCUAAGUCCAAAUCCAUACAGAAAUAUUAUCAGUACAAUGUGAGAGGGUAUCACAACACCACAAGCAAGUUAGUUCUGGAAUCUUAAACGAGCAUCAGUUAUAUGUUUCUCACCUCUUUCUUGUUCUCAUUAUCGCUUGGAUGUUUCUCCAAAUCUGUUUUCAAAUCCAGCUUUUCAAAGGACACUUUGAUUUUCAGUUUCUAAGAAAGUCAGCAGAUCUUAACAGUCAGGGGCUUUAACUUGGAUGUCUGUCAUUUUUAAUCACCUGUUACAUGUGUACCAUUACUGUUUUGCUGAUUACAUGAGACGUUGGUCAUUUGUCUCAUUACUCUCCCCUCUACUAUUUUCCAUGUCACAAAUAAAUUAUCCACAAACUUUAACAUAUAUAAAGUUUAAGAAACCAACAUGUUGGAUGGUUGUAUGCUUUAGUCAUUUCUAAAAUCCAAGCCAUUAUGGAAACUAAUUGGUUUGUAUGAAGAAACAACAUUAAAAAAAUGACAGCACAUAUUUAAAUAAACGCAGUUUCCUCACAGUCUGAUCUAGAUUGUGCAAACAAUGUGGACAAUGAAAAAGGGCAUUUUAAAUCUUUACAAAAGGACCAGACACAUUGCCCAUGAAACUUGGUACCUGAGCACCUGUCUGCAAAGUGGUGGUUAGGGUUGUAUCCUGUGAGAGCUCAAAGAGCAAACACAGAGGUGUUUGGCUAUGAGGAGCAUGUUUCAACCCUAAGAGCCCUGCAGCCCCGGGCCUGCAGUGUCUGAAAGCACAGAGGUGAGUUACGGCUGACUCAGACAGUUAGAGCUCUCUCUAACGACUCCCUCUGCAGAGUGGCCCAUCUGCUUCCCACUCUUGUGAACCAUGUGUUGAAUUUUCAAAAGGAGUGUCCUGGUUUCAGCUAGGAUAGAG